rnacentral:rRNA from 1 species
GACGAACGCUGGCGGCGUGCUUAACACAUGCAAGUCGAGCGGGAAACUUAGGUUUCCAGCGGCGGACGGGUGAGUAACACGUGGGCAACCUGCCUCACAAUGAGGGAUAGCCUUCGGAAAGGAAGAUUAAUACCUCAUAAACCAAGAGAAACGAAUGUUUCUUUUUCCAAAGAAUUUCGUUGUGAGAUGGGCCCGCGGCGCAUUAGCUUGUUGGUGAGGUAACGGCUCACCAAGGCUUCGAUGCGUAGCCGACCUGAGAGGGUGAUCGGCCACAGUGGAACUGAGACACGGUCCAGACUCCUACGGGAGGCAGCAGUGGGGAAUAUUGCACAAUGGAGGAAACUCUGAUGCAGCAACGCCGCGUGAGUGAUGAAGGUCUUCGGAUUGUAAAGCUCUGUCUUCUGGGACGAUAAUGACGGUACCAGAGGAGGAAGCCACGGCUAACUACGUGCCAGCCGCCGCAGUAA